rnacentral:rRNA from 1 species
CGAACGAGAACGGUUUUCUUCGGAGAACCUAUUAAAGUGGCGCACGGGUGAGUAACGCGUAGAUAAUCUACCCUAAUAUCUGGGAUAACUGACCGAAAGGUUCGCUAAUACCGGAUACGCUCUUUUUUCCGCGAGGGAUUAAGAGGAAAGGCAACCUCUGACAUAAGUUGUCGUAUAAGGAUGAGUCUGCGUACCAUUAGCUAGUUGGUGGGGUAAUGGCCUACCAAGGCGACGAUGGUUAGCGGGUCUGAGAGGAUGAUCCGCCACACUGGAACUGGAACACGGACCAGACUCCUACGGGAGGCAGCAGUGAGGAAUUUUGCGCAAUGGGGGAAACCCUGACGCAGCGACGCCGCGUGGGUGAUGAAGGCUUUCGAGUCGUAAAGCCCUGUCAAGUGGGAAGAAAUGUUAUAUGGUUAAUAGUCAUAUAAUUUGACGGUACCGCUAAAGGAAGCACCGGCUAACUCCGUGCCAGCAGCCGCGGUAAUACGGAGGGUGCAAGCGUUGUUCGGAAUUACUGGGCGUAAAGGGCGCGUAGGCGGCUUUUUAAGUCAGGUGUGAAAGUCCACGGCUCAACCGUGGAAGUGCAUUUGAAACUGGAAGGCUUGAGUAUGGGAGAGGGAAGUGGA